rnacentral:rRNA from 1 species
UACGGAGGGUGCGAGCGUUUGUCCGGAAUCACUGGGCGUAAAGGGCGCGUAGGUGGCGCAGGAAGUCAACGGUGAAAGUUCGGGGCUCAACCCUGAAUCGGCCGUCGAUACUCCUGGGCUCGAGCACUGUAGAGGCAGAUGGAAUUCCGGGUGUAGCGGUGGAAUGCGUAGAGAUCCGGAAGAACACCGGGUGGCGAAGGCGGUCUGCUGGG